UCCACGCUCGCCGCCGCCCGCGCGCGAGGCCUAGCCUGGAGGGAGGCUGCGCGCCCCGGGGUGGCUGGGCCAGUGCCCUCUGCUCGCGAACUUCGGUCAAGCGGAGGCCAACUUUCCUCGGCACUCUAUAGUUCUCGCUCCAUCCUGGGUCUUUUUCUUUGAAUGCGUUCUUUGAGAGUCGGGCGUGAUAGCUCACGCCUGUAAUCUCUACACCCAGGAGGCUGAGGCAGGAGGAUAGCCAUGAUGUUGAGGCUGGCCUGGAUUAGAGUGAAACUCCGCCUCCAAAAAUAAAAGAAAAAAAUAAUGCACUUGAAAUUUUAAAGAGCCACAGUCCAUGCUGCCUCUAUUAAUGUAGUGCCCGCAGAAUCUUAGAUUGGAUGCACUGAUUGUGUUUUUCUCUAAUAAACUUUAAAGAUUGGGAUGUUAAAAUUCCAAAGGUUUGCAUAACCUUUAAAACCGUCUGGUGUACCACGCGUGGGAAAUAGCACAGUAGCAUUACAUAAACCGUUGGGAUCUGCUAACUCCAUUAUGCCUUCUUCCUUUGGCAGUUCAGUUCAACAGUGUUUUCUGAGUACCAGCUGUGUGCCUGGCAUCGUGCUAGGCCAUCUCUUGGGUAGAGACCCGGCUUAAAGUGCCCCUCCAAAACAGUAGUGGUGUAAAUAGCUGCCGAUCCAAAGACUAAGUGUCACAGUGCAGGUGGCAGUAUAGUCACAUAUCAAGAUAGAAAACAGCAGCUCCAGCACUGGGGAGGUUGAAGCAGGAGGGUUAAGAGUUCAAGGCCAGCCUGUCCUGCAUGGUACCCUAUCUCAAAAAGAAAAAAGAAAUUGUGAGGGGUUUUUGUUUGUUUUGGUUCGUGUUAAGAGACAACAGGGUUUCUCUGUGUAGCCCUGGCUGUCCUGGAACUCUUUCUGUAGACCAGACUGGUCUUGAACUCAGAGAUUCACCUGCCUCUACCUCCUGAGUACUGAGACCAAAGGUGUGCACCACCAGGCCUGGCUCAAAACAUUCUUUUUGAAUUUUAAAAAUAAAAAGGCCUGAGUGCUGAAAUCCCUUUGAAUGACUUUCGCAGUCAAUGGCAAGCUAGUGCCCAUGCUGUGCCUUUAAAGAUUUACAGUCAGUUUGAUUUAGAGAGCUGUUUGAGACUAUUAAGUUUCAUAUAUAUAAUAAAAGCUAAAUAUUUUCAAAUAAAAAUACAUGUAAUAAGGAAAUACAACUUAUGCAAAAUCCCAUUAGUGAUAGUAGAUGUUGAUACAGGAAUCCCAGGGAAUGGAGUCCUCUGAAUCCUAACGUUUUGUUAGAGAAUGCAGUGAGGAGUCAAUAUGUAAGGUUCAGUGCUUUUUUUUGGUUUUUCAAGACAGGGUUUCUUUGUGUAGUUUUGGUGCCUGUCCUGUAUCUCACUGGACCAGGCUGGCCUCGAACUCACAGAGAUCCACCUGGCUCUGCCUCCUGAGUGCUGAGAGUAAAGGCGUGCGCCACCACCACCCAACAGGUUCAGUGCUUUUUAAGAACUCAAUUAAGAGCAGCGUGUCUAUUAAGCAUAAGCUUGGUGAGCUGGGAAGAUGGCUCUGUUGGUUAAGUGUUUGCUGUACAGCAAAAGGACCUGAGUUGGAACCCCCAGGAUCCAUGUAACAGGUACUCCAUGUUUCCCUAUCCUCUGAAGAGUUUGGGUCGAGACUGGACCUCACCGUGGGAGGAUCUGCAGAGGUAUUGCUGGAACAGACACAUUUCCAGUUGUCUGAGGUGGCCUGGACAUUACUCACGUUCGCCAUACCCAUACUUCAGUAGCAGGCAUUUCUCACUGAACUGUAGACCACCUCUUCUGUUUGAAUCUGGAACUCAGUUUCAGUACUGUAAUUGGAGACCUGACCAUCUAAACAACACAUCCUUGAUCCGGCUCUCCAGUUACAUCAUGAACUCUGACAAAGAUGAGCCCUCAUCCAAACGAAGAAAACACCAUGGAACAAUAAAAAGGAAUUGGGAGUAUUUAUGUAGCCAUAAUAAAGAAAAAAUGAAGGAUCUAGACGGCAAAAAUGUUGACUCCACGUGUGAGGACAAUGAAGAAAAGUUUGACUUUUCAGUGAUGUCUUACAAUAUACUCUCACAAGAUUUACUAGAGGAUAACUCGCACCUCUACAGACAUUGCCGACGUCCAGUGUUACACUGGAGUUUUCGGUUUCCCAAUAUUCUGAAGGAAAUCAAACAUUUUGACGCAGAUGUGCUUUGUCUGCAGGAAGUCCAAGAAGAUCACUAUGGAGCAGAAAUCAGGCCGAGUCUGGAGUCACUGGGCUAUCACUGUGAAUAUAAGAUGAAGACAGGAAGGAAACCUGAUGGCUGUGCCAUUUGCUUCAAACAUUCCAAGUUUUCACUCCUGUCAGUGAACCCAGUAGAGUUCUGCCGCCGUGAUAUUCCUCUGUUGGACAGAGACAACAUUGGAUUAGUUUUACUCUUGCAACCCAAAAUCCCACGUGCCGCCUCUCCCUCCCUCUGUGUAGCUAACACACAUCUGCUAUACAAUCCACGGCGAGGUGAUAUAAAGCUGACCCAGCUGGCAAUGCUUCUAGCAGAGAUUUCCAGUGUGGCCCAUCGGAAAGACGGUAGCUUCUGUCCCAUCGUCAUGUGUGGUGACUUUAAUUCUGUUCCUGGUUCUCCACUCUAUAGUUUCAUAAAGGAAGGAAAAUUGAACUAUGAAGGACUUGCAAUUGGAAAGGUAUCUGGCCAGGAACAGUCUUCACGGGGACAGAGAAUUUUAUCUAUUCCAAUUUGGCCCCCAAACCUAGGCAUCUCACAGAACUGUGUAUAUGAGGCACAACAGGUUCCCAGAGUAGAAAAGACAGAUAGCGAUCUGACACAAGCUCAGCUGGAGAAGACAGAGGUCCUAGUGUCAGCUGAAAAGGUGCCUUCACAUCUCCGGCACCACUUCAGCUUGUCAUCUGUUUAUUCUCAUUACCUUCCUGACACUGGACUUCCAGAGGUGACCACCUGCCAUUCCCAAAGCGCCAUAACUGUUGAUUAUAUCUUCUACUCUGCAGAAAAGGAGGACGCUGCCAGGGGUCCAGGAGCUGAAGUGGCUUUGGUUGGUGGCUUGAAACUUCUGGCUAGACUGUCGCUUCUUACAGAACAAGACCUGUGGACUGUGAAUGGACUUCCCAAUGAACACAACUCUUCAGACCACCUGCCUCUACUGGCUAAGUUCAGGCUCGAACUCUGACUCCGUUGCUCGGUCACACAAUUUCCUGUCUUCUCAGAGGCUGUAAAGAUAGUCGUAACUGUUUGCAUGCUGUUCAUUUCUGUGCUUGGGGUUCUGAGUUUGCUCUAUGCUUGAAACAGGUUGGAAGAAACAAGUUUACAACAGUUUUUUAAAAUGAAAAUAUUUUCCUGACAACUGAUGUCUAACCACUUUAUUGUAAAAAGACAUAAAUAACUUCUGAGUCCUGGUAAAGUGAACAGCAUUUUGAAGUGUAGUUCAUCUCCUUGGCUCUCCAGACAUGAAUUCAGUGCUUUUCAGUCCAUCCAGUGGACCUACCAGGACUUGCAAAGCUCAGGUUGUUGCCUUUUCUGGAGGCCUAAUUUCAGUGGGAGAAGCCUGUGCUUGUUGAGAGCUAAUCAGUUCUUAGAAAUCACGGGGUCAUUCAUUCACAGGUGUCCAGCCACAUUAGCUUCUAAAGAGGCUUGAUGAUGCUCUUGAGUUGUACUAAUAUAGAGACCCACUUCACUGCCAUCCUGAGCUGUGGGAUAUGCCUAUACUUUGUUGAGGAAAUAGUUGAGAAAUGCAGGUCACUCACAUAAGAGGGCAAAGCUCUUAGCCAGAUAAUGGUGGUACAUAUUUGUAACCUUAGCAUUUGGGAGGUGAAGGCAGGAUUAGCCAUUUAAAGCCAGCUCUAGUAACAUAGCAAGUUUGAGGCCAGCCUGAGCUACAUGAAACCCUAUCUGUAAAACACAACAAAACCUGGGCGGUGGUGGUCCACACUUUUAAUCCCAGCACUUGGCAGGCAAAUCUCUGAGUUCAUGGCCAGUUUGGUCUACAGAGUGAGUUCCAGGACAGCCAGGACUAUUACACAGCGAAACCCUGUCUCAAAAACUGAAAAAUGGUCAAAGUCCUUUAUAUAAGCCCACCCCUGUUCUGUAGAGGGGUUGCCCCCAGGAAAGCAGAUGAGCCAGGUGCAGCCAUGCACAUCUUUCAUGCCAGCAUCUAGGAGACAGGCAGGAGAAUCACUGCAUGUUCCAGGCUAGUCAGGGCUACACAGCAAGACCCUGUCUCAAAGACAGACAAAGCGGUGGCAGACCCUGGCUAGUACCUCUGUCCCCCUGUCUUCCUUUCUGUUUAGUGACAGUAGAAGGCCCUUGGGUCAGGAGUGACAUUUUGUUGAACCAGUUUUGUAUAAAUUUUAAAAAAACAGUCUUUGGAAGGAAGUGGCAGCUCUACAGCUAUUUGUCAUUCACCUCCAACAUGCAGAAGCCAGAGCAUAGGGAGGCACAGUUUAGACCUGGGAGCCCCCCAACUCCACACUCUUGGAAGCCGAUGAACUGUUGGCUGCAGGGUCAUGCUUUCUGGUACAGUGGUGCAGCAGUGUGACAUGGCGCUCACACUGUCAGUGACGCUCACAGCAGGUCUGAUAAGCCCUGUACACAAUGUCGAGUGAAAGACUUUCAUAGAAGUAGAAAUUCCCUCCGCUUUCUAAAGUAGUAGAAUCAGACUGCCGGCAUUUUUACUAAGUCCUUGCUGUGCAGUAAGUUACAUAUGUUUUCUACAGUGAGUUUUAUUAAUAAAAUGCUUUAAAUUAAGACAAUAAGUCUUGGCAAUUUAAAUUUUUAACUCAUUACAGUUAUUUUAGGUGUACUAGAUGACUGCCUCAGAGGUGUACAGAUUGUGAAGAUAUGGCCAGUGAGAUUUGCAGUAAACAAAGGGUCUCAACUUUGGUUUUCAUGGACAGUAUUAACCAUGGUGCCAUGAUGCCCACAGUUUUCAGUGCUUUGUGGAGUGCUAAGGAUCCUGGUUAGUCUUUAUCAAAUUAGUAAUUGUUCCUUUUUAAUAUUGGGGGGUGUUGAGUGGUGUUGGUAUAAACAUCACUGUUGGCAAACUAACAUUCCUGAAAACCUCUGUAAAAAGUUUUUAUAUCCUAAUGAAUAUGAGUUUAGCCCCAUUUCAUACACUUCUCUUUGAUAGUUAACCCAUAAAUUACUGUUCAAUGUUAACCUGUGGCCACAGACACUUUUCACAAGCUUUUAGAGCUCCAAUAAAGAUGAUCUAUUUUCUUUACUGUUCUUGACAGAAGAUCUGGCAGCUCCUCUGGGCCUUGUGUUUAUCUGCCAAGCACAAUCUGAUCUGGCUGACUGCAGAAAUCAGAUCUCACGGUUUAUAAAGUGUAUGUGUAUGUGUGUGUGUGUGUGCAUGUGUGCGCAAUCUGAUCUGGCUGACUGCAGAAGUCAGAUCUCACAGUUUAUAGUGUACUCUGUGUGUGUGUGUGUGUGUGUGUGUGUGUGUGUGCAAUCUGAUCUGGCUGACUGCACAAGUCAGAUCUCACAGUUUAUAAUGUGUGUACUAUCCGUGUGCUUGUGUGUUUGUGUGUGUGUGUACAAUCUGAUCUGGCUGACUGCAGAAGUCAGGUCUCACAGACUGAAGUGUGUACUAUCUGUGUGUGUGUGUGUGCGCGUGCACAAUCUUAUCUGGCUGACUGCAGAAGUCAGAUCUCACAGUUUAUAAUGUGUGUACUAUCCGUGUGCUUGUGUGUUUGUGUGUGUGUGUACAAUCUGAUCUGGCUGACUGCAGAAGUCAGGUCUCACAGACUGAAGUGUGUACUAUCUGUGUGUGUGUGUGCGUGUGCGUGUGUGUUUGUACAAGCUGAUCUGACUGCAGAAGUCAGAUCUCAGUCCAAAGUGUGUACUAUCUGUGUGUGUGUGUACGUGUGCGUGUGCGUGUGUGUGUCUAGACAUGUGUGUCUAGAGGCCAGAGGUGAGCCUUGGGUAUUGUUCCUCAGGAGCCAUCUACCUUUUAUUUUAAGAUAGUCUCUCACUGGCCUGCAACAUGCCAAAGUAGGGUAAAAUGGCUAGCCAGCAAGGCUGAGACCCUCCUGUCUCUGCCUUCCUCGUGUGGGAUUACAUGGGAUACCUGGCUUCCCUUGUGGGUCCUGAGGCUCACACUCAGGUCCUCCUCUAACUGAGCCGUCUUCCCAGCCUCCUGCUAGCCAAGUCUUAUAUGCAAAGGGAAACUGUAAAGUGAUGAUAGUCUAGUUUUUAGUGCACCUUUUGCCAUCAAGACAGUAAGCAUGUUCAAAAUCUUGUCUUUCGGGAUUUAGUAUCUGCUAGCUUUUAAGCUUUUGUUUAAAAAAAAAAAUGGAGUUAUUUUACUUUGUCCCUGUAAGCUGUAAUAAAGUAUUAUAUUUGCA